rnacentral:lncRNA from 1 species
UUCUCCUCAGGAUAAAUUAUUCUUGAUUUUUAAGAUUAUAUAAUCUUUCUGCUCCCGUUUGGUUCGGGGUUAAGAAAAAGUAGCUAUUCCAGGGAUAGGAUUAAGUUCAGGGUUAAAAUGGUGUUAAAAUUUUUUUGUGUUUGGUUGGAGGUUGGAGUUAGUCUAGGAUAGUGAAAAAAAGUGUUUGGUUGGAGUAGGUGGGAUAAAAAGAUAAUGAUUAAUAAAGAAGAAAAAUGUGAGAGCUCGGAAUGCGUGCGGGGUUAAAGUUGGGAGGGGGAGUGGGGUUAAUGAUUGAUAAAGAAGAAAAAGGUGAGGGCUCGGAAUACGUGCGGGGUUAAGGUUGGGAGGGGGAGUGGGGUUAGUAAACCCCACUAACCCGGUUUGGGAUGGGGUUUACUAACCCCACCCCAAAAGAAUGGUGUUUGGGUAUAAAUUGGGGGUUAAGGGGUUAUUCCACCUCUUAACCCCCAACCAAACGGUGUCUCUAAGUUUUUAAAUUUAUAAAUUUUUUAAUAGAUCAUAUUAUUUAAAAUAUUGUAGGUAGCGUAAAUUAAAAUACUUUUCCAAUUUAAGAUAUUAGCCGU